rnacentral:tRNA from 1 species
GCGGAAGUGGCGGAAUGGCAGACGCGCCAGGCUCAGGACCUGGUGGGCAUUACAGCCCGUGGGGGUUCGACUCCCCCCUUCCGCACCA